AGAUUGAACGCUGGCGGCAGGCCUAACACAUGCAAGUCGAGCGGUAGAGAGGUGCUUGCAUCUCUUGAGAGCGGCGGACGGGUGAGUAAUGCCUAGGAAUCUGCCUAGUGGUGGGGGAUAACGUUCGGAAACGGACGCUAAUACCGCAUACGUCCUACGGGAGAAAGCGGGGGACCUUCGGGCCUCGCGCCAUUAGAUGAGCCUAGGUCGGAUUAGCUAGUUGGUGAGGUAAUGGCUCACCAAGGCGACGAUCCGUAACUGGUCUGAGAGGAUGAUCAGUCACACUGGAACUGAGACACGGUCCAGACCUCCGUACGGGAGCAGCUAGGUGGGGAAUAGUUGGACAAGUGGGACGAAAGCCGUAGAC
rnacentral:rRNA from 1 species